rnacentral:rRNA from 1 species
GAUCCCUGGCUCAGGAUGAACGCUAGCGGCAGGCCUAAUACAUGCAAGUCGAGGGGUAGUGGAGCUUGCUCCAUGAGACCGGCGCACGGGUGCGUAACGCGUAUGCAACCUACCUUCAUCUGGGGGAUAGCCCGAAGAAAUUCGGAUUAACACCGCAUAAAAUCACAGAACGGCAUCGUUCAAUGAUCAAAUAUUUAUAGGAUGGAGAUGGGCAUGCGUGUCAUUAGUUAGUUGGCGGGGUAACGGCCCACCAAGACCGCGAUGACUAGGGGAUCUGAGAGGAUGACCCCCCACACUGGUACUGAGACACGGACCAGACUCCUACGGGAGGCAGCAGUAAGGAAUAUUGGUCAAUGGAGGCAACUCUGAACCAGCCAUGCCGCGUGCAGGAAGACAGCCCUCUGGGUCGUAAACUGCUUUUAUUCGGGAAUAAACCUACUUACGUGUAAGUAGCUGAAUGUACCGAAGGAAUAAGGAUCGGCUAA